CACCCAUAUUCAAUAUCCAUUUGUAGGAAUCAAGAAUCAGACCGAGUUAACAGCUGGAGAAAUUGGAAAACAGGUUCUAAAAAGACAAAGACUAAGACAAGUAAAAGUGGAGAAUUCAAACCCCCGAAACACAAGGCAGAGCAAGCGAAGACUGUCUUAUACAAGUGUUUGAUAAUAAGGAUGAUUAAAAGGGGUUAAUUGAAUAUGGAAAUCAGUCAGGAGCUCCAAAUAUCCAAUAGAUAAUUCUUUAAAAAAUGACCAAGAA
rnacentral:lncRNA from 1 species